rnacentral:tRNA from 1 species
GCCUUCAUGGUGUAGUGGUCAGCACACUUGCCGAAUAACCGAGAAGUCCAUGGUUCAAUUCCUGGUGAAGGCC